GAUCGCUAGAUGGGUGGGGGACACGGGCGAUGAUGGCGCCUUAUCUUGUGGAAACUGCUCCACUCGGCCUUAAUAAACACAAUCAUACUUCAGUUUUCAUUAAGCAGGCAUUCAUGCCGGGGCCAACGUCUCUUCUGUUGCACACUUCAGUUUCCAUCUGGUGCGUGUAUACAUGCUUCCUUUCCCAGCCAUUCUUCGUUCACCCUCUCUACUCCAGUAGCACAAAAUAUUCAGCAUCAUGCUCGGGUAGAUUUCCAUGUAUUCUACCUUAUGCCCAAGUGCCGUGGAGUUUGCUGCCCCAAGGCUGAAAACAUCAAGUUCACCUUGGAGCAGAAGUUGGUGUUUUUGGCUUGAGAAUUUUUUUUUGAUGAUAGACGAUAUAACUCCAAUCAAGACUGAACUUCAAAUUAUCUGCCUAAGAACAGAUGCAGCAGCAGUUGACAUAUAUCCGAAUUGUGAUAUUUAGUUCUCGGUAAUUGUACUAUGUUAUUGCUGCAAUUCUUAUAAGUAUAAUCCCAAACCUUCCAGUUCUAGUUAAUAAUA